UUUAUUUUAUUAUUUUGUAAUUUUAAAAAAUUUUACUUUGUCUAUUUGUAAUUUAAUAUUUUUAUAGAAAAUAAGAUGACAAAGUAAAUUUUUUAAAAAGACUACAGGAUAAUUAAGUGAAAAAAAUACGUUGAAUCACAGGAUACCAAAAUGUAAUUUUUUGAACUGGCAAAAUAAAAAUAAGUUAACAAAUUUCUGAACCAUAAAAUGACAAAAUAAAAAUUAGGUAAACCCUUAAAAAAAAAAAAAGUAGUUUUAU
rnacentral:lncRNA from 1 species